ACUUUAAAUCAAAUUUAAGCAUUAUGAUAAAACUGUUAAUUUUAUUGAAAAAAGCUUAAGAAA
rnacentral:tRNA from 1 species